UAAUACGUAGGGUGCAAGCGUUGUCCGGAAUUAUUGGGCGUAAAGAGCUCGUAGGCGGUCUGUCGCGUCGGCUGUGAAAACUCGGGGCUCAACCCCGAGCCUGCAGUCGAUACGGGCAGACUAGAGUGCUGUAGGGGAGACUGGAAUUCCUGGUGUAGCGGUGAAAUGCGCAGAUAUCAGGAGGAACACCGGUGGCGAAGGCGGGUCUCUGGGCAGUAACUGACGCUGAGGAGCGAAAGCGUGGGGAGCAAACAGGAUUAGAUACCCUGGUAGUCCACGCCGUAAACGGUGGGUGCUAGGUGUAGGUCGUAUUCCACGCGAUCUGUGCCGCAGCUAACGCAUUAAGCACCCCGCCUGGGGAGUACGGCCGCAAGGCUA
rnacentral:rRNA from 1 species